GAUGAACGCUGGCGGCGUGCUUAACACAUGCAAGUCGAACGGAAAGGCCCAAGCUUGCUUGGGUGCUCGAGUGGCGAACGGGUGAGUAACACGUGGGUGAUCUGCCCUGCACUUUGGGAUAAGCCUGGGAAACUGGGUCUAAUACCGGAUAGGACCAUCGUUUAGUGUCGGUGGUGGAAAGUUUUUCGGUGUGGGAUGAGCUCGCGGCCUAUCAGCUUGUUGGUGGGGUAAUGGCCUACCAAGGCGUCGACGGGUAGCCGGCCUGAGAGGGUGUACGGCCAGGUUGGAACUGUGGGACGGCCAAGAGCGUUGGGGGGGGAGGGGGGGGGGAAGAAGGGAGAGUGGGCGCGGGCCGGGGGCAGGGGGGGGGGGGGGGGGGUGAGGGACUUCGGGGGGUAAACUCGUUCCGCCAGGGGGGGGGUGUUUUGUGAGGGUACGUGGAGAAGAAGCACCGCCGAACUACGGGCCAGAGGCGGGGGUAAUAAUGGGAAGAGCACCCGUCUAAAC
rnacentral:rRNA from 1 species